rnacentral:rRNA from 1 species
AACGAACGCUGGCGGCAGGCCUAACACAUGCAAGUCGAGCGAGGUAGCAAUACCUAGCGGCGGACGGGUUAGUAACGCGUGGGAACGUGCCCAAAGGUACGGAAUAGCCUCGGGAAACUGAGAGUAAUACCGUAUGUGCCCUUCGGGGGAAAGAUUUAUCGCCUUUGGAUCGGCCCGCGUUGGAUUAGGUAGUUGGUGGGGUAAUGGCCUACCAAGCCGACGAUCCAUAGCUGGUUUGAGAGGAUGAUCAGCCACACUGGAACUGAGACACGGUCCAGACUCCUACGGGAGGCAGCAGUAGGGAAUAUUGGACAAUGGGGGCAACCCUGAUCCAGCCAUGCCGCGUGAGUGAAGAAGGCCCUCGGGUUGUAAAGCUCUUUUGUCCGGAAAGAAAGCAAUCGGUUAAUACCCGGUUGUUCUGACGGUACCGGAAGAAUAAGCACCGGCUAACUUCGUG